UACGAAGGGGGCUAGCGUUGCUCGGAAUCACUGGGCGUAAAGGGUGCGUAGGUGGCCUUGUAAGUCCGUGGUGAAAGCCUCUCGCUUAACGAGAGAACUGCCAUGGAUACUGCAAGGCUUGAGUCCAGACGAGGUUGGCGGAAGUGGAUGGUGUAGCGGUGAAAUGCAUAGAUACCAUCCAGAACCCCGAUUGCGUAGGCAGCUGACUAGGCUGGUACUGACACUGGAGGCA
rnacentral:rRNA from 1 species